UGCACCCCUGGCCGGUCGUGAAAUCCACAGAUUAGUGCCUAAUGACUAUUUCAAUUGACUGAUUUCCUUAUAUGAACUCAGUCAAAUCUUUGAAAUUGUUGCAUUUAUAUUUUUUGUUCAGUAUAGUUACAUUACUAGUUGAAUUACAUGUAGUUCACUACUCCUCAACACUGAGACCAUAAGACAUCCAACAGGAGCGCAUCCUUCAGACCAUCCGGUUCAUGGACAUCCUGUGCCAGUGUGAUCCGAGCGUGAGCGUCCAGUUGUGGAGACUACAGCACAUCGAGCCUGUGGACGGACAGACAUGAGGCGUGACAUGCAGAACAUCAGGCUCACCCCACGAGAAGCACCCUCAGCAAGGUCUGCUGGAAGGGAUGUACUCUGUCUCUCACUCUGGGGUCCAGACAGCAGGAUCAAUAUGAAUCUGUCAGAGGACGUCACGCUGAAUGAGGAUGGUGAUGGAUGCUUCGUUGGUCUACACAACGAAGAAGCAUAUGUCCCUUCCAGGGAUGUGGAGCUGACCUUGGACCUGGUGCCAGUAAGGAUGGUCUUCACAGAGGCGAUGAGACCCUCCCUCCUUGAUAUAGAAAUAAUUAGACUUCACUGCCUCCUCAAUGGUAAGGUCCCUUGCACCUUAGGGACAUUUGACCUCCACCACUGCUGUGGUGCCCACCAGACCAUCUGGUGAGGCACCCAGGAUCCCAGACCCUGUGACCCAAAGCCCUCACUCCUGUACUUCCAUCCCUGUAGCCAUUUUGAAUGCCUUGAUGCCUUCCUCUUCAUUAUCUGUGGCCCACUUCACAGACAACACCCCAUCCAACGACUGUGAUCUGAGGACCCUUUUUAGUAGCGACUGAGUAACGUGCUUGGACCUAUAACUGCUCCAUAAUUGCUAGCCAACCCUCCCUCUCCUCAUGGUGUGCCAGUUGGGGUUGGUGCGCUGUCAAACUGUUGCCUGCCUUCUAGCCUCCUGCUGCUCCACCGACAGCGCCAUGCCAGCCAGGAUGCCCUUGCUUUUUAACAAUGUCCGGUACAGACAGGGAGGGUAGCGGUUGUUCUGGCUCAGGUUGAAGGAGCCAUGCCAUUCCACUGAACCUGCCCCAGAGACAGUUCCUUAGCCACUGAAGAUCCUUCUCUGUGGGUUCUCGGGACAGAGGGUUGUAGUCUUCGGCCGGGUACAGGUCCUCCACUGACUGCACCUGGCUGGGCCACGGCUGGCUUCCUCCACUUACAUUCCACAUCCGUACGGCCGAUUUUGUGAACCGCCAAAAAUAGGUUGCAUGGCUACACGUGUGAGCGCCACGGAGGCGUUCGCAUGUGGUAGAGAGAAUACCCUGGUCACCUAUAGAGACCUGCCAAGAGGAAGGAUGCUAAGUGCCACAUGUCUUUCAAUGCAUGACUUUGAACACCUUGAAAUGCAUUUGAUGUAAGAAAUGUGCUAAAUAAAUAAAGUUUGAUUUGAUUGAUGACAUUAAAGCUGUAGAAUAUUUAAUCAACUGUGAUUUUUCACAUGAGGACAAGUGCAGUUUUUCAAUAAACUUUUCAUUGAUAACUUGGGAUUUUAUCACUUGACAUAUCAAUCAUAUAGUGGCAAGUAUCCUAUAAAUCAAG